CCUACGGGUGGCAGCAGUGGGGAAUAUUGCACAAUGGGGGAAACCCUGAUGCAGCAACGCCGCGUGAGUGAAGAAGUAUUUCGGUAUGUAAAGCUCUAUCAGCAGGGAAGAGAAUGACGGUACCUGACUAAGAAGCCCCGGCUAACUACGUGCCAGCAGCCGUGGUAAUACGUAGGGGGCGAGCGUUAUCCGGAUUUACUGGGUGUAAAGGGAGCGUAGACGGUUCUGCAAGUCUGAAGUGAAAGCCCGUGGCUUAACCGCGGAACGGCUUGGGAAACUGUGGAAAGGGAGUGCUGGAGAGGCAAGCGGAAUUCCUAGUGUAGCGGUGAAAUGCGUAGAUAUUAGGAGGAACACCAGUGGCGAAGGCGGCCUGCUGGACGACAACUGACGGUGAGGCGCGAAAGCGUGGGGAGCGAACAGGAUUAGAUACCCGAGUAGUC
rnacentral:rRNA from 1 species